rnacentral:rRNA from 1 species
AUACGGAAGGCAGCAGUGGGGAAUAUUGGACAAUGGAGGCAACUCUGAUCCAGCCAUGCCGCGUGCAGGAAGACUGCCCUAUGGGUUGUAAACUGCUUUUAUACGGGAAGAACCACUCUCACGCGUUGAGGGCUUGACGGUACCGUAUGAAUAAGGAUCGGCUAACUCCGUGCCAGCAGCCGCGGUAAUACGGAGGAUCCAAGCGUUAUCCGGAAUCAUUGGGUUUAAAGGGUCCGUAGGCGGGACAAUAAGUCAGUGGUGAAAGUCUUCCGCUUAACGGGAGAAUUGCCAUUGAUACUGUUGUUCUUGAAUUAGUAUGAAGUGGUUGGAAUGAGUAGUGUAGCGGUGAAAUGCAUAGAUAUUACUCAGAACACCUAUUGCGAAGGCAGAUCACUAAUACUAUAUUGACGCUGAUGGACGAAAGCGUAGGUAGCGAACAGGAUUAGAUACCCUGGUAGA